rnacentral:tRNA from 1 species
GGGCCUGUAGCUCAGUUGGUUAGAGCCGACCGCUCAUAACGGUCUGGUCGGGGGUUCGAGUCCCUCCGGGCCCACCA